CUCCAACGAGCGCAACCCUGAUCCAGCCAUGCCGCGUGUGUGAAGAAGGCCUUCGGGUUGUAAAGCACUUUCAGCAGGGAGGAAGGCUUACCCCUAAUACGGGUGAGUACUUGACGUUACCUGCAGAAGAAGCACCGGCUAAUUUCGUGCCAGCAGCCGCGGUAAUACGAAAGGUGCAAGCGUUAAUCGGAAUUACUGGGCGUAAAGCGCGCGUAGGCGGUGUGUUAAGUCGGAUGUGAAAGCCCAGGGCUCAACCUUGGAAUUGCAUCCGAUACUGGCACGCUAGAGUGCAGUAGAGGGAGGUGGAAUUUCCGGUGUAGCGGUGAAAUGCGUAGAGAUCGGAAGGAACACCAGUGGCGAAGGCGGCCUCCUGGACUGACACUGA
rnacentral:rRNA from 1 species